rnacentral:snRNA from 1 species
GUUGGAAUGACUGUUUCUGGUCUAUCAGUGCCCAAACUUCAUUCUGUUACAAGGACAUCUUCCAAGGUUUCGCGCUUAUUUGAAGAGUAUAAACUACUCUGAUAGAAAAGGACCAUUUUCAGCCAAGAGCAUACAAAUAUUGGUAUUUCCCUGCAAGUAUUCCACACAAGUUCAUGAAGUCUAUUUGUAGGAGAACAUAAAGAAGGUACGUUUUACGAUGGAUAUAUAGGCUGUGGUCUCUACUAAAUGUCCAUCUAU